GUUAAAACUUAAAUUCAAUGUAGGCUGUCCAUUAACAUCAUUUGGGCCUCUGAUUUUGCUCACAGGCUUAGCUAUCAAGCAGAUGCGGGUUUAUUCAACUACUUUUUGAUGGACUCGGACCCUCUUUUAAGGAGGCUCAGUUAUUUAAAACGACGCACCGUUGUGUUUAUUGGGGGCGAACCAAGCAAAGCUUUAUUUCUAUUGACGAAAAUACCCUUUCUACUUCCAAGUCAAAGGCUUCACAUCACUGCGAGUGCCGAGCAAAAGCUUUAACCAAAUCACUGAGGGAUGAGGCUGAGAAAAAAACCUAUGCUCAAUUAUCGAAUAAAUCCCCAAAGAAAAACCUAAUUUUUUGCAGACCCAAUUAGUUUCACAAAUUAUGAAUGCCCUCAUAGAAUAUUUAAAGUAGAAUAUCAUAUUAUCAAGCAAAAUGCAUGGAUGAACCAACAGUGAUGCCAAGCCCACCAAAUCUUCUGGCGUGGCGUAGCCUAGCAUACUAGGAAAGUUACUGAACUCCUCAUAUUCGUAAUCCUUCCAUUGCACCCUGUUUUAAUUAAACCUUUACAUAGCAAAUACACUUGGAACACAGAAUCAUGGAAAGCCACAAGCUCCAUCAUUUUCAUAAUUACUUCAAACCUAGCAGGCUAACAGUACUCAUUAAACUACCAAUGAAGAAAGUAUAAUCUCACUCUCAAAAGAAGUUAAGACUAGAAAAUAAAAAUUUUUCCAAGGAACGUUGGUUUUCAAUAUGGUUUUGGCAGUUCUUUAUUUCUCUGAUAUUUUUUUGAAUCCCUACAUCAUUGACUUCAAACGUUCUCGGAAAACUUUCAUCAUUCCUGCAAAGGUAACUAUUCCUACCAAAGUGCCAUCCUCUUCAACAACCCACACAUUACUCACACGAUGAGAAAGUGCCUGAAUCAUUACUGCCACCAAGGAGCUCCAUGGAAAGCACACAAUUGCAUCAGUAUUUCUCACCACUCUUGAUGAACGCCUACCUAACCUCCCACUCCUACCCAGCCCAAACUCCUCGUCAGAUGAGGAUGCCGAAAUUUCUGAUUCUUCUUCCAGCAACUCCAGAGCCUCACCUAAAUUCCUCUCUUCCAGUCUUUCCUUAACCAACCGUAUCAGAUCCUCUGGUGGGUCACCACAGUCUAUGUAAGCCAUAAAAUCCCCAGUAGAGAGAGUAGCAAUUGCAGCAGCCACUGACUCGUUGCAAGAGUUCAGUACGUAUGGCGAGAUCUCACCAAUCAACUUGCCGUCUACGUCAAUAAUGGCAACGGAUGUUUGCUUGACAAGGGAUUGAGAGAUUAAGGGUAAUGAAGAGGAGGCAGGCUCAUCAUAGCAGACAGCCAAGAUCGAUUUGGUGUCUAUGAUGUUGAGAGACUCAAGAGUGUGGUUAGGAAUGGGGCAGAAGAGACCAAUGCAGUUAAGAAGGUAGCGAAUUAUGUCUUCUUGGGUAAGCCAGCAGUACUGCACACGAUUGUCAUGGAGGGUGGAGUUUGAGGAUGGUUUGUGUGUCAGCUUUUUUCUUGAGAAGGGGCUGUGAAUUGGGAUCACAAGGUUCUGUGCACCUUCAAGGAUGAGAUCUAUAGCCUCCACCAAGCUUGCGUUCUGCUCCAAGUGCCUCACAAGGCCAGGAACCUUGGGAAGGAUAACAGAGACAGGUUCCUGAAGAGCACUCCCUGGAUUUUUCAGAUUGUCUUCUUCACACAAGAAGCAAAUGACAUCCACCAUGCAAACUUUACCAAUACAACGGCAUUCAUUUACAUCAGAAACCUUAGAUCUUGAAGCGUUACAGUGGUGAUCACAACUCCAGACACUCAAAUACGGGUCACCGAAUCUCCUGAGAGAAGACAGCGCAUCACCGACGGUUGCAGAGACGGAGAGAGACCUAAGCGCAGGCUUUCCAAGGCAUAGGUCAGAUACCUCGCGGGCCAGUAAACUCACUGCCAUGCACAGAAAGAUGGAGGUGUAGAGGAGAGGAGAGGAGAGGACAGGCGAGUUUGCAAUUGGUGGGAGUGAAACAGGAGUAGGUGGAGGUGGAGAAUUCUGG
rnacentral:misc_RNA from 1 species